rnacentral:misc_RNA from 1 species
GGUGCCUUGUGUCUCUUAAAGAAGAUAGUUGGUUAUGGAAUAGAAGACUUGGUCAGGCUAGCAUGCAUGUGAUUUCAAAACUUUUAAGAUAUGAUCUUGUUAAAGGUUUGCCAAAAAUUAAUUUUGAAAAAAAUCAUGUUCGCAAGCCUUGUUCUCUUGGAAAACAAACCAAAGUUUCUUUCAAAUCAAAGAAUAUUGUUUCUACAUCUAGACCACUUGAGUUAUUGCAUCUUGAUUUGUUUGGUCCUAUUACACCCAUAAGUCUUGGUGGUAAAGCAUACGUGUUACUCAUAGUAGAUGAUUACACUAGGUAUGUAUGGACAUAUUUUCUUGCACACAAGUAUAAAACUUUUGAUGCAUUUACAUAUUUUUGCAAGAAAGUACAAAGUGAAAAAGGGUUACUUAUUUC